UGCCUCAGUAACGGCGAGUGAAGCGGCAAGAGCUCAAAUUUGAAAUCUGGCUCCUUCGGGGUCCGAGUUGUAAUUUGGAGAGGAUGCUUCGGGCGUGGUCCCCAUCUAAGUGCCCUGGAACGGGCCGUCAUAGAGGGUGAGAAUCCCGUCUGGGAUGGGUGGCCUCGCCCGUGUGAAGCUCCUUCGAAGAGUCGAGUUGUUUGGGAAUGCAGCUCUAAGAGGGUGGUAAAUUUCAUCUAAAGCUAAAUAUUGGCCGGAGACCGAUAGCGCACAAGUAGAGUGAUCGAAAGAUGAAAAGCACUUUGAAAAGAGAGUUAAACAGCACGUGAAAUUGUUGAAAGGGAAGCGUUGGCCACCAGACUCGCUCGGGAAGGCUCAGCCGGCACGUGUGCCGGUGCACUCCUUCUCGGGCGGGCCAGCGUCGGUUUGGGCGGCCGGUCAAAGGCCCCGGGAAUGUAGCUCCCUCCGGGGAGCCUUAUAGCCCAGGGUGCCAUGCGACCUGCCCGGACCGAGGAACGCGCUCCGGCUCGGACGCUGGCGUAAUGGUGGUCAACGGCCCGUCUUGAAACACGGACCAAGGAGUCUAACAUCUAUGCGAGUGUUCGGGUGUCAAACCCGUCCGCGCAGUGAAAGCGAACGGAGGUGGGAACCCUUCGGGGCGCACCAUCGACCGAUCCUGAUGUCUUCGGAUGGAUUUGAGUAAGAGCAUAGCUGUUGGGACCCGAAAGAUGGUGAACUAUGCCUGAAUAGGGCGAAGCCAGAGGAAACUCUGGUGGAGGCUCGCAGCGGUUCUGACGUGCAAAUCGAUCGUCAAAUUUGGGUAUA
rnacentral:rRNA from 1 species